CUACAGUUACUUAUCAGUGGGGCUCACUCAGAGGGAGCCUGGCUUCCUCGGAGAGAGGGAGCGAGCCACACGCAGGCAUGUCGAGAGAGUUUUAAGCUUCAAAGUGUCACUCCCCCCCGAGGCUCUCUCCCCACCGCCGCCACGUUGUGCCGUUGCCGUGCCGUGCCGUGCCGUGUAUGCCUCCUCCGCUUCCUGCUGCAGAGCCAGUUCUGCCGCUUACCUGGGAGAGGCAGGGAGGUGUCGUAAAAGGAAGAGAAAACACCACCCGGCCGGCUGAGGACGGAGCCCCGGGCACGCCGAGAGCGCGGCGGGGUGCGCAGGAGGCACGUCAGCCCUCUCGCUUUCCUUGGUCAGCUCAGCGUGAGCAGCCCUCGCCCACAAGUUUGCUGGAAAAUCCUGGCAUUGCAGUAAGGCAGCUGACUCUCAUUUCCGGUGUGACUACAAAACUUGGAAAUGGCUUCUGUGUCAGGCACUUCUGUGGGUCAAAGCAUACCAGUUGAAAUAGAUGAAUCCAUGCCAUGGUCCCCAUUUCCCAAACAUAUCUUGGAAAAGGCUUUGCAGUCUUCUGGAGAGGAUAAGAAGGAUGAGGAGUCCCAGAGACCAUGUGUCGCUCAAACAGCUGAGCCUGUGGCCAAUGCAUCAUGCCUCUGCAGAGCACCAGCACAUCAUCAGUCAGUGCCAUCCACAGAGCCAGGCAGCAGCUUGUGGUCCAGAUACAAUGAUCCUGAUGUAGAUGGGCACUUCUGCUCCCCUAGUGAAUCAAUAGCUGAAGUAGUUGCCUCCAGGAUGCAUCUUAUAGCUAUGGACAAAUCAGGAAUGCAGCCAAGAUCACAGCAUUCAGGUGACACUGGACACAACUCCAGUAAAUCAGAGCAAAGCUUGCCUGAUGCUCCUGAGGACUCACUGGAGGAGAGCAGCCAAUGCAGUUCACGGUCACAGCAACACUCAGGAAACAGACCCCCAGCAGAGCUGGGGACCGUGGACACAGGGUACAACUCCCAGUCACGAGACAUCAUGGGCAUCAGGCACCUGGAUCCCCCUUUACCGCUGGUGUCCAUGCUGAACCCCCAGGACCUUCCAGGACCACUGAUCUCCAGAGUGUUUUUUGGACCUGAAAAUCAGCAGUGCCCUAUGUGCCAGCGCUUGCCCCAUCCCAACACCUCCGCACAAGUUCAUGGAUGCUUUGAGCACCGCUGCCUGGAAAAGCAGCACCCCCAGGGCCCAUAUGGCAGAACGUCUUACCAACAUUACGAACAUGCAUUGCAACCGCUUCCUCCUGUUCCUGCACCUUGCAUGAGAGUUAUCCGCCCAGCCCAGAAAGUCAUCCCAAAUUACUCAGACCUUCAUGCUGCCCAAGGCACGAGAGGCCGACCACCCCAGAGGACAUGCUCCUCCCCUGGUCCUCCUCGAUUCCUAAACCAGGUAUACAACCAGGUACCUAAUGGCCAGCUGCCCCCCAAGGCAUGUGGCUCAGAUGAAGCAUGUUGUUGUCCUUGUGACAAUUUUCCAUCUCCAGCUGCCGUCCCGAGACCUCUCAGUAACCCUGCAGCCAAGGGAACUCUGAGAACCAGCAAUUUGCCGGAGGAGUUGCGCAAGGUCUUUAUAACCUAUUCGGUGGACACAGCAGUGGAGGUUAUGAAAUUUGUGAACUUCCUGCUUGUAAAUGGAUUUCAAACUGCUAUUGAUAUAUUUGAGGACACGGUACGAGGUAUUGACAUCAUUAAGUGGAUGGAGCGGUACCUAGAAGACGGUGAUGAUAAUCAUAGCAAUCAGUCCAAAAUACAAACAGGAUGUGGAAGGGGCUGAAUCCCAGCUGGACAAGGAUGAACACGGCUUACAUACUAAGUACAUCCACAGGAUGAUGCAGAUCGAGUUUAUACAACAAGGAAGCAUGAACUUCAGAUUCAUCCCUGUGCUUUUUCCAAAUGCCAGAAAGGAACACGUGCCUACCUGGCUGCAGAACACUCACAUUUAUAACUGGCCGAAGAAUAAGAAGAACAUCCUUUUGCGGUUACUGAGGGAGGAGGAAUACAUUGCUCCUCCGGUAGGACCUUUACCAACACUCCAGGUUGUGCCGUUAUGAACAUUAUUGCUUAAAGUGCACGACAAGCAGUUGUUAAAGGGUUGUUCUUGGCAGGGAGCCAGUGCUCUUCCAGAUGGCUCUUUUUGAUGACAGAAGACACUCUUUCUGCUAAAGGGAUUGGUUGUUUUGGGUGAUGGGGCAGAACUCUCUUUUCUAGAUUUUUAAGAGCUGCACAUGGAAAGAAUGCCCAGUUUUAUUUUAACAUCUGUUUUUAACAUAUUCCUUUAUUAGUCAAUAUAGCAAACAAAUGCCAGAAAUAAUGUUGCAAUAAGUGUAAAAUAAAAAUUACAUCCUUCUCUUUGCUCAGGGUUUCUUUAAAGAUAUUCCUGCCUUGUAUAGCAUUAUUGAACAGUUAAUUUGUAUUUACAUUAUUAAAUAUAUUUGCCUUUUGUAAUGCAACCUUA